GGCAGUUUGCGGGGGGACUGUUCGCAGUUGAGAAGGUUACAACCUGACCCUUUGAACCUGUUGGUUAAUACCAGCGUAGGGAAGCGACAACUUUGCUUUG
rnacentral:ncRNA from 1 species